rnacentral:lncRNA from 1 species
AGUGUUUAUCACGAUCUGACCCGCUAACAAUAAUAAUAACUGGGCUUAAGCAUUUUGUUCUGGUUGUUUUGGCCCAAAAAGUUUUUAUUGCUAGCUAGUGGAUCAAGUCACCGGCCAGAAGUGUGAUAUGAGUUUUGGCUGAGCCAGGGUCGGAAUGACAGAAAAAGCCAAGGUCGGUGAAUGAUAGACUAAGUUAGAGUUGGAAUGACAAGGUUA